rnacentral:rRNA from 1 species
GUGAGGAAUAUUGCGCAAUGGACGAAAGUCUGACGCAGCCAUGCCGCGUGAAGGAUUGACGGCCCUAUGGGUUGUAAACUUCUUUUGUAUAGGAAUAAACCCUCGUUCGUGAACGAGGCUGAAGGUACUAUAAGAAUAAGCACCGGCUAACUCCGUGCCAGCAGCCGCGGUAAUACGGAGGGUGCAAGCGUUAUCCGGAUUUAUUGGGUUUAAAGGGUCCGUAGGCGGAUCGUUAAGUCAGUGGUGAAAUCCUACCGCUCAACGGUAGAACUGCCAUUGAUACUGGCGAUCUUGAGUAUGUAUGAAGUUGGCGGAAUGUGUGGUGUAGCGGUGAAAUGCUUAGAUAUCACACAGAACAUCGAUUGCGAAGGCAGCUGACUAAUACACAACUGACGCUGAGGGACGAAAGUGUGGGGAUCAAACAGGAUUAGAAACCCGAGUAGUCC